rnacentral:rRNA from 1 species
UACGUAGGGUGCAAGCGUUGUCCGGAAUUAUUGGGCGUAAAGGGCGCGUAGGCGGCUUGCACAGUCAGGCGUGAAAUUCCUGGGCUCAACCUGGGGACUGCGCUUGAGACGUGUGGGCUUGAGUGGGGAAGAGGGUCGUGGAAUUCCCAGUGUAGAGGUGAAAUUCGUAGAUAUUGGGAAGAACACCGGUGGCGAAGGCGGCGACCUGGUCCUUGACUGACGCUGAGGCGCGAAAGCGUGGGGAGCAAACAGG